rnacentral:lncRNA from 1 species
GGGCUGAGUACAAGCAAAACAAGACCAAAGGAAGCUACCUGAGCAGGUAUUCCAGAUACUCAUGUCAUACACCAAGGUUGUACCAGUGCCCCUUUCUCUGUGACACAUCCAUCCACUGGAAACUUUCGUACAACUAGCUGAAAGAAGAGAAACAUCCUAUUUCAUGUCACUGGAGCCCUAAUGAUCGCAGCCAUUUCAGGAAAUGCCAUCAAUUACAGUGAGGAGCUCAUUCAGAAGUGAAAGAUGAGUUCCAUUCUCUGUUACUUAGAGGACAAUAGAUUAUAUUGGAUGUAGAUGAAGUUUGGGCAGAAUCAGGGAUCAAUGGCUCCAUCUAAAUUGUUGCACCAAAACACAGACAUACACCUGCUUUUAGAUUUGAAGAGUGAAUCCUCUCUGGAAAAUGUAGCAACUACUCAAAAAAGGUUGGAGGACCAACACUUCUAAGAAGCAGGAGGUAUUACAAAGCUCAAAUCUGAGAAAACCUUGUCUACCAUCAACCCUGACCUACAGAGGAGAGGCACCCCCAAGCUUAUUAGUGAUCCUGUCUCCGUCUUAUUGGCACAUCCUGAUGGCCUUGAUCUCUAGUUCUUCCUGUGGAGCAUAACCAUAUGGUUCUUUGCCAAGAUGUUAAGACCAAAGUCGGAGAGUGAACCCCAUGUCAAUGAAUUCUUGUUUUUCUGAUCUUACAUUCCAUCACUUUGAUCCAGUACUCUCAAAAUGCAAUCACAGUUGUACAUGUCUUCUCCUGUCAAUAAACGCUACCUUAGUACUGCA